UGGGGAAUAUUGCACAAUGGGCGCAAGCCUGAUGCAGCCAUGCCGCGUGUAUGAAGAAGGCCUUCGGGUUGUAAAGUACUUUCAGCGGGGAGGUAGGGAGUAAAGUUAAUACCUUUGCUCAUUGACGUUACCCGCAGAAGAAGCACCGGCUAACUCCGUGCCAGCAGCCGCGGUAAUACGGAGGGUGCAAGCGUUAAUCGGAAUUACUGGGCGUAAAGCGCACGCAGGCGGUUGAUUGAGUCAGAUGUGAAAUCCCCGGGCUUAACCCGGGAAUUGCAUCUGAUACUGGUCAGCUAGAGUCUUGUAGAGGGGGGUAGAAUUCCAUGUGUAGCGGUGAAAUGCGUAGAGAUGUGGAGGAAUACCGGUGGCGAAGGCGGCCCCCUGGACAAAGACUGACGCUCAGGUGCGAAAGCGUGGGGAGCAAACAGG
rnacentral:rRNA from 1 species